GUUUGAGGUGAAGGCCAAAAUAGAAAUUGCCAUCAAGCUCCAGAUGAUCCUCAGUGAGGGAUACCGCUCUCUCAGUAUUCAAGAGUCACCCUUCCACAGAGAAGCCCUAGACUGCCCAUCAGUGGAAUAUGAGAGAGCCUGCACCAGAUGCAACUCCUAUAGAAGAGGGAAAUCCUGAACUGACUGAGCGAACUCUCAGAAUUGACCAUGAUUCACAUUUUUACCCUUGACGGAAAAAGGAUUCAAGGAACACAUUACAUUUCUGUUUUAGAAAAAUAAAGUUGUAUUUUUGCAUACCUG
rnacentral:lncRNA from 10 species